UGGCUCAGUUGGUGGAGUGCUUGCCUCAUAUGCAUGAGGCCCUGUGUUCAAACCGCAG
rnacentral:tRNA from 1 species